UUUCAAUGGACGUCGGGCACAUCAUCUUGGGACGACCUUGGUUAUUUGACCUAGAUGUAACCAUCUAUGGUCGAUCCAAUUCCUGCUCCUUGGUGUUUAAUGGAAAGAAGAUUCACCUUAACCCACUGCCUCCGAAGCCUGUUGGCCCACUAGAAACGAAGAAAAGUAUGGAACGAAAGGGAUUGCAUAUCAUUAGUCCUACGGAGUUUGAGCGUACACUUGUUGGUGACUCAGUUGUCUUCGCUUUGGUGGUCAUGGAGGUCCCAUCACACUCCGCAAUAGAGAGCCCUGUUGAAGUCCUAUCGGUCCUCCAAGAGUUUCGAGACGUCUUUCCAGAGGACCUCCCUGAUCAUCUACCUCCACUNUUUAACUUCAGGCACUCGUCAUGUAGGAACAUCAUAAAACGUGCUUUCGGGGUGUGGAAACAAAGGUGGAAAAUCUUGGACCAUAUGUCGAGCUACCCGUAUCCGACGCAGGUAGCAAUUGUCGUUGCAACGAUGGGAAUACAUAAUUUCCUACAACAAUCAGAGUGGUCAACGAGGCAUUCAAGAGAGCAGAUGAGAACGACGACGACGAGGCCGAGGUGGAGCUUCCCACCGUAGAAGAUGAGAUGUAUGCAGAAAUGUAUGCACCGGAAAUGCAGCGGAGCAAGUGGGACAAACUACGGGAUUUCCUGGCACAGUAGCCGUGAUUGGGAUGUAAUUCUAAAGUAGCCGAAGGGGGCCCGACAGUUGGUAAUGUAGCCGUGAUUGGGACAAACUACGCAUAGCACUUGUUUGCGCCACAUUGUCCGUGUAUUUUAAUGGAAAAAUGACCGUUACAUCCACCAUUGUGGGCCCAAGGACAGGGAACUCGCUGACAAUUGAAGUUGCCAAUGAAUAUAAAAUUUUCCAUUUUGCCUCUUCUCGGAAUUGUCAGCAACAUAAGACAAAAUUGCAAUUAAUGCCCAAUAGUAGUCAAAGGCUGCACCAUUUUUAAUUACUGAACGUGUGACUUUAAUUUCCAUGGUAGGUGGGCCCAUUAAUUUCACAUGCUGCUCAAAUGUGUCUCCUCACAGUUCUUUCCAUGACCGGCCCCACGUUUUAAAAUAUAGGCAUUUGCAAGAACUUCCAAUUUCACAUGACGCUUUGCAAUGGACAUUUCUCGACAUCUUGAGUAUUUUUUGACAUUUGUCGUGAUGUUCUCAAGAUUACAUGCCUACAUGUCUUGACACUUCACAUUACAUUUGUUUUGAAUGACAAUAUGAGCAUGAAAAUACAUAUAUAUAGUAAUGAACGACUGUUC
rnacentral:lncRNA from 1 species